GUUCCCCUUCUCCUUCUGCUAUGAGUGGAAGCAGCCAGAAGCUUUCAUCAGAAGCAGACGCUGGUGCCAUACCUGCAGAACUGUCAGCCAAAUACUGUCAUGUCUGAAUGGUAGUCCUGAGAUUGCGGCAGCCCUCACAUGAUGAGCCAGAGGAGGAAGCCUCAUGUGAAAGAAAGCAGGACCCACAGCCAUAGUUGCACAGAUCUAUUCAAGCCACGCUGAUCACUGCGCUAACCUGUGGAUUUGUUUGGUUACAGCA